GCCUUUAAUCAAUAGUCACAUUGUAAUAAAAUAAGGUAUAACACAUAGAGCAUAGCCCUUAUGGCUUCGCACAAUAACUAUCAAAAGAGGAACUAAAAUCCUUCAGUGCACACACCAGAGAAGAUGGUAUCGAGCAAUGUACCUUUUCUUCCGUGAAUCCUAUUGCAUUCAUGUUAAAGUCGAAACUAAAGAGUCAAAGUGGGA
rnacentral:lncRNA from 1 species